rnacentral:lncRNA from 1 species
UUUUGCCCUCGUUCUUGUUGUUGAUCGGAGUUUUUAAAAUUCGUGGAAGUAUUUAAAAUGCGCCCUGUACAGAUUAUAUGUCAAAUCAUGGCUUCUCCACCUGUUUCCAUGUUGUCUGCUGUUGGAAGAACAUCUAUGAGGGACUGUGAAUAGAAUCUUUAUCUUCUGCUUAUAUACAACACUUACUCAUGGGCCAGUGGCACAAUUUCUAGCUGUACAAGGAUAUCAUGGUGUUUGAUAAGUUGAUGACAAUGAAACUAAUGACCAUGUUAACAUCAGAGGAAAAGCAAACUGGGAGAAGAAAGGACAACAUUGUUUUCGAUCUUGAACAGGGGUCCUGAAAUAAGCUGUCCGAGUUGUCCGAUUCGUGGAUUCCUCGGUCCGGACAAGCAGUUUUUAGAAGCUGACUUAUCCGGGGACAAGUAAAAUUUCCGUGGUAAACAUUUUAUGAAAACGAAACUAAUCUGUGUCAUCUGUGAUUUCCGCAUGCCUAAAGGCAAUAUCUAAUCUGU